AGAGCGAACGCUGGCGGCAGGCCUAAUACAUGCAAGUCGAACGGAUCCUUCGGGAUUAGUGGCGGACGGGUGAGUAACACGUGGGAACGUGCCCUUUGGUUCGGAACAACUCAGGGAAACUUGAGCUAAUACCGGAUGUGCCCUUCGGGGGAAAGAUUUAUCGCCAUUGGAGCGGCCCGCGUCUGAUUAGCUAGUUGGUGAGGUAAAGGCUCACCAAGGCUUCGAUCAGUAGCUGGUCUGAGAGGAUGAUCAGCCACACUGGGACUGAGACACGGCCCAGACUCCUACGGGAGGCAGCAGUAGGGAAUCUUGCGCAAUGGGCGAAAGCCUGACGCAGCCAUGCCGCGUGAAUGAUGAAGGUCUUAGGAUUGUAAAAUUCUUUCAGCGGGACGAUAAUGACGGUACCGCAGAAGAACGCCCGGCUAACUUCGUGCCAGCAGCCGC
rnacentral:rRNA from 1 species